AGCUGGUCUGAAGGUAGUGAGUUAUCUCACCUGAUUGUUCAGUCAGUUACAGAUUGAACUUUUCUACUACUUUCCCCCUUCUUACUACUGCACUUGACUAGUCUAAA
rnacentral:Y_RNA from 1 species